rnacentral:rRNA from 1 species
UUGACCCGAAAGAUGGUGAACUAUGCCUGAAUAGGGCGAAGCCAGAGGAAACUCUGGUGGAAGCUCGUAGCGAUUCUGACGUGCAAAUCGAUCGUCAAAUUUGGGUAUAGGGGCGAAAGACUAAUCGAACCAUCUAGUAGCUGGUUCCCUCCGAAGUUUCCCUCAGGAUAGCUGGAGCCCGGUGCAGUUUUAUCAGGUAAAGCGAAUGAUUAGAGGUCUUGGGGUUGAAACAACCUCAACCUAUUCUCAAACUUUAAAUGGGUAAGAAGCUCGGCUUGCUUAGUUGAAGUCGGGCCCGGAAUGCCGGGGCUUCUAGUGGGCCAUUUUUGGUAAGCAGAACUGGCGAUGCGGGAUGAACCGAAAGCUGGGUUAAGGUGCCCGAGUCGACGCUCAUCAGAUACCAUGAAAGGUGUUGGUUGAUCUAGACAGCAGGACGGUGGCCAUGGAAGUCGGAAUCCGCUAAGGAGUGUGUAACAACUCACCUGCCGAGUCAACUAGCCCUGAAAAUGGAUGGCGCUGAAGCGUCGCACCCAUACCCGGCCGUCGGGCUGAGGGGCAUGGCCCGACGAGUAGGAGGGCGCGGUGGUGGCUGUGCAGCCUUGGGCGCGAGCCUGGGUGAAGCCGCC